GGCUCAGGGCGAACGCUGGCGGCGUGCCUAAUACACGCAAGUAGAAACGCCGAAGAGAGGAGCUUCGCUUCUUUCUUCGGAGAGUUCGCGAAACGGGCGAGUAACGCGUAGGUAACCUGCUUUCGUAGCGGGGGAAAACUAUUGGAAACGAUAGCUAAUACCGCAUAACAAUAGGUGACACAUGUCAUUUAUUUGAAAGGGGCAAUCGCUCCACUACAAGAUGGACCUGCGUUGUAUUAGCUAGUAGGUGAGGUAACGGCUCACCUAGGCGACGAUACAUAGCCGACCUGAGAGGGUGAUCGGCCACACUGGGACUGAGACACGGCCCAGACUCCUACGGGAGGCAGCAGUAGGGAAUCUUCGGCAAUGGGGGCAACCCUGACCGAGCAACGCCGCGUGAGUGAAGAAGGUUUUCGGAUCGUAAAGCUCUGUUGUAAGUCAAGAACGAGUGUGAGAGUGGAAAGUUCACACUGUGACGGUAGCUUACCAGAAAGGGACGGCUAACUACGUGCCAGCAGCCGCGGUAAUACGUAGGUCCCGAGCGUUGUCCGGAUUUAUUGGGCGUAAAGCGAGCGCAGGCGGUUUGAUAAGUCUGAAGUUAAAGGCUGUGGCUCAACCAUAGUUCGCUUUGGAAACUGUCAAACUUGAGUGCAGAAGGGGAGAGUGGAAUUCCAUGUGUAGCGGUGAAAUGCGUAGAUAUAUGGAGGAACACCGGUGGCGAAAGCGGCUCUCUGGUCUGUAACUGACGCUGAGGCUCGAAAGCGUGGGGAGCGAACAGGAUUAGAUACCCUGGUAGUCCACGCCGUAAACGAUGAGUGCUAGGUGUUGGAUCCUUUCCGGGAUUCAGUGCCGCAGCUAACGCAUUAAGCACUCCGCCUGGGGAGUACGACCGCAAGGUUGAAACUCAAAGGAAUUGACGGGGGCCCGCACAAGCGGUGGAGCAUGUGGUUUAAUUCGAAGCAACGCGAAGAACCUUACCAGGUCUUGACAUCCCGAUGCUAUUUCUAGAGAUAGAAAGUUACUUCGGUACAUCGGUGACAGGUGGUGCAUGGUUGUCGUCAGCUCGUGUCGUGAGAUGUUGGGUUAAGUCCCGCAACGAGCGCAACCCCUAUUGUUAGUUGCCAUCAUUCAGUUGGGCACUCUAGCGAGACUGCCGGUAAUAAACCGGAGGAAGGUGGGGAUGACGUCAAAUCAUCAUGCCCCUUAUGACCUGGGCUACACACGUGCUACAAUGGUUGGUACAAACGAGUUGCGAGUCGGUGACGGCAAGCUAAUCUCUUAAAGCCAAUCUCGGUUCGGAUUGUAGGCUGCGAACUCGCCUACGUAAAGUCGGAAAUCGCUAGUAUUCGCGGUUCAGCACGCCGCGGUAAUUCGUUUCCCGGGCCCUUGUCACACCGCCC
rnacentral:rRNA from 1 species